UACGUAGGGAGCAAGCGUUGUCCGGAAUCAUUGGGCGUAAAGAGCGCGUAGGCGGUCCGGUAAGUCGGUUGUGAAAACUGGGGGCUCAACCCUCAGAGGCCGACCGAUACUGCCGGGCUAGAGUCCGGAAGAGGCGAGUGGAAUUCCUGGUGUAGCGGUGAAAUGCGCAGAUAUCAGGAGGAACACCGGUGGCGAAGGCGGAUCUCUGGGCCAUUACUGACGCUGAGGAGCGAAAGCGUGGGGAGCGAACAGG
rnacentral:rRNA from 1 species